rnacentral:rRNA from 1 species
AUUGAACGCUGGCGGCAGGCUUAACACAUGCAAGUCGAACGAUGAUUAUCUAGCUUGCUAGAUAUGAUUAGUGGCGGACGGGUGAGUAACAUUUAGGAAUCUGCCUAGUAGUGGGGGAUAGCUCGGGGAAACUCGAAUUAAUACCGCAUACGACCUACGGGUGAAAGGGGGCGCAAGCUCUUGCUAUUAGAUGAGCCUAAAUCAGAUUAGCUAGUUGGUGGGGUAAAGGCCCACCAAGGCGACGAUCUGUAACUGGUCUGAGAGGAUGAUCAGUCACACCGGAACUGAGACACGGUCCGGACUCCUACGGGAGGCAGCAGUGGGGAAUAUUGGACAAUGGGGGCAACCCUGAUCCAGCCAUGCCGCGUGUGUGAAGAAGGCCUUUUGGUUGUAAAGCACUUUAAGCAGGGAGGAGAGGCUAAUGGUUAAUACCCAUUAGAUUAGACGUUACCUGCAGAAUAAGCACCGGCUAACUCUGUGCCAGCAGCCGCGGUAAUACAGAGGGUGCGAGCGUUAAUCGGAAUUACUGGGCGUAAAGCGAGUGUAGGUGGCUCAUUAAGUCACAUGUGAAAUCCCCGGGCUUAACCUGGGAACUGCAUGUGAUACUGGUGGUGCUAGAAUAUGUGAGAGGGAAGUAGAAUUCCAGGUGUAGCGGUGAAAUGCGUAGAGAUCUGGAGGAAUACCGAUGGCGAAGGCAGCUUCCUGGCAUAAUAUUGACACUGAGAUUCGAAAGCGUGGGUAGCAAACAGGAUUAGAUACCCUGGUAGUCCACGCCGUAAACGAUGUCUACUAGCCGUUGGGGUCCUUGAGACUUUAGUGGCGCAGUUAACGCGAUAAGUAGACCGCCUGGGGAGUACGGCCGCAAGGUUAAAACUCAAAUGAAUUGACGGGGGCCCGCACAAGCGGUGGAGCAUGUGGUUUAAUUCGAUGCAACGCGAAGAACCUUACCUGGUCUUGACAUAGUGAGAAUCCUGCAGAGAUGCGGGAGUGCCUUCGGGAAUUCACAUACAGGUGCUGCAUGGCUGUCGUCAGCUCGUGUCGUGAGAUGUUGGGUUAAGUCCCGCAACGAGCGCAACCCUUUUCCUCAUUUGCCAGCGGGUUAAGCCGGGAACUUUAAGGAUACUGCCAGUGACAAACUGGAGGAAGGCGGGGACGACGUCAAGUCAUCAUGGCCCUUACGACCAGGGCUACACACGUGCUACAAUGGUAGGUACAGAGGGUUGCUACACAGCGAUGUGAUGCUAAUCUCAAAAAGCCUAUCGUAGUCCGGAUUGGAGUCUGCAACUCGACUCCAUGAAGUCGGAAUCGCUAGUAAUCGCAGAUCAGAAUGCUGCGGUGAAUACGUUCCCGGGCCU